AGUCGAACGGAGUAAUAAAAUAAGUUUACUUAGAUUAUUACUUAGUGGCGAACGGGUGAGUAACGCGUGGGUAACCUGCCCUUAAGACCGGGACAACAGCUGGAAACGGCUGCUAAUACCGGAUGGAUUUAUUGGAAGGCAUCUUCUAAUAAGGAAAGCUGGCCUCUGUAUAUGCUAGCGCUUAGGGAUGGAUCCGCGUCUGAUUAGCUAGUUGGUAGGGUAAUGGCCUACCAAGGCGACGAUCAGUAGCCGGCCUGAGAGGGUAAACGGCCACACUGGGACUGAGACACGGCCCAGACUCCUACGGGAGGCAGCAGUGGGGAAUCUUCCGCAAUGGACGAAAGUCUGACGGAGCAACGCCGCGUGUAUGAAGAAGGCCUUCGGGUUGUAAAAUACUGUUGUUGGGGAAGAACGGCUGGAGUGUAAAUAAUGCUUCAGAUUGACGGUACCCAACGAGGAAGCCCCGGCUAACUACGUG
rnacentral:rRNA from 1 species